GACGAACGCUGGCGGCGUGCUUAACACAUGCAAGUCGAACGGAAAGGCCCUGCUUUUGUGGGGUGCUCGAGUGGCGAACGGGUGAGUAACACGUGAGUAACCUGCCCUUGACUUUGGGAUAACUUCAGGAAACUGGGGCUAAUACCGGAUAGGAGCUCCUGCUGCAUGGUGGGGGUUGGAAAGUUUCGGCGGUUGGGGAUGGACGCGCGGCUUAUCAGCUUGUUGGUGGGGUAGUGGCUUACCAAGGCUUUGACGGGUAGCCGGCCUGAGAGGGUGACCGGCCACCUUGGGACUGCGAUACGGCCCAGACUCCUACGGGAGGCAGCAGUGGGGAAUCUUGCACAAUGGGCGGAAGCCUGAUGCAGCAACUCCGCGUGCGGGAUGCCGGCCUUCGGGUUGUAAACCGCUUUCGCCUGUGACGACGCGUGAGUGACGGUAAUGGGUAAAGAAGCACCGGCUAACUACGUG
rnacentral:rRNA from 1 species